ensembl:lncRNA
GCCCUCAAAUGAAAGAAUGAGAGAAACACAUUGAAUACUUCUAUAAAUAGUAGAGGACACAUGAAGGUUUUGAUCUCCAGGCCACAAGUGACAUCCUAAAAUAUGAGCUCUAAGGGUUGAACUACUAGAUGAUUAGAUUCUCUCAAACAAAUGUUUUGAGAAUUACCACAGUAAUGAUGGAAACAGACAAAAGGGAAUUUUAAAAAAAUUAUUAUUUUUCUUAGCUUUGCUGUUUGCAGCCUGCAGAACUAGUCUGCAAGAAAUAAAAGAAAGCAAAAUAUUUAUUUAAAAAAAAACGAAAACAAAAACCUUGUACUCCGAAAAGUACUUUUCCGAACUGGUACUUACAUAGUUCAGAAGAUGAAGAAGAGAGGCAGAGAGAGGGAGAGAGGGAAGCUACAUUCUUAUAACUAUGUCUAUUGCAUGAUUUGCUUUAAAUUUAAAUAGUGUUUCAUUUUCUUCCUUCCUCAACAGGAAGGAAACUUCUUAAAACUGAAUAGUCAGCCAACUGCAUACAGUGUCACUGCAUACAAGUUUCGUAUUUUUAUAUAGUCUUUCAUCAAGUGUUCUGAGUCUGGGUGGCCCAAUAUAAAAUUGACUUGAUAUGUGGCUCAAAAUAGUUUAAUGUUUUGAAUCUGAAUAUGACCUACCAAAAACUGUCCAAAUGGAACGUUUUUAUUUUCCCAUAACACUUUUAUUUUCCAUGACAUUCCAUAUAAAAACACACUAAAUAAAGGAGAGCCUGGGAAAGUGAGCAUUACAUGUGCCACCAGACCGCUGACUUCCAGUCUCUGCCUUUUUCAUUACUCGGAAGCAUCAUACAAUGAACAUUUACACAGCUCUGCUCCCAGAACCUAAACAUGCCAAAUGAUUUUAUUUGUGUCUCAUCCCUGGAGUAAGAAAGACCAUGUAAUCAGAAACCGUUGGCGCCGGAAGAGACCCUCCCAAGGUCCUGAGGACCAGACUCUCAUUCCAAGUUUGCUUCUCUUUGGAAAGGAUAAUUAACUAGCCCAUAACCUUUCUCUGAUGCAUGGCCCCUUCAACGCUGACACUGGAGGCUGGAACUGGGGCAGCCGUGUUGUGACCAUGAGGUAAAGCCAAGGGUAACAGUAAAGAUUCCACUGCUGCUAAGUUAAUGCCAAUAACUAUCCAUCUCCAGUUCUCUUUAUUGCACAGGAAAAAUGACCCCUACUUUUAAAAACUGCUGGAGGUCCAGUUUAUUUUUACUUGCAGCCAGCACACUCCUGACUGCAUUGAAUGAAUAGUGUUUCCAUCUAACCAGUUCUUUCAGACAGAGAAAUAGGAACUGACAUGUUGCUAUAAUUUAUUAUUUAUUCUAUGUCAGAAACUUGACAUAGAGUAUUUUAUUUCUUUGCAUUUUUAUCCUCAAAGCAGCUUUUCUAGGUAGUUAUCUGCUGGGAGCGAG